UUUCUUUGAUCUCUUCUUUAUGUUCUGCCGUUUCUUACAUCACAUCCUCUCAGUUUUUUUGCAAUACAUGAAUAAUAUCUGCCACAGGACGGUAGCAAUGAAACAGUAUUUAUAAUAGGAGAUUUCCCAUAGUUCAUAGUUAAUGGCUACAAGUCUAUAUGUUGCUGGGUGUAUAGUGUUCUUUAAAUCUGUGGCAAACAUUCCAAGGACGACUUUCAAUCAGUAGUCGACCAGCAGAACCCCUGGAGUUUCAAAUUAAGUUGAAUAGCUCUUGAGAGACACUUGGAUCGUAAUACUGGAUCGACCUUGACAGAUGAGGAUUAUAGUUAUUUCAGCCCAUCUGUGGCAUCAACGGAAGGUUUUACUAUCCCGCACACAAGUAUACUGAAAAGAACAAAUUAUGUGUCUGUGAGAGAAGGGUAGAAAUACAACCAUGUUUACUGUCCACAGCUAGAAAUAAAAGGCAAUGGCCGGGCUUGGUCCACUCUUUGGCAGUGGUGAACCCAUUAAGGGAACGGAGCUCUGGUUGUGUUAAUUCUGUUCCUUAAAAGUAAAAGAACUGGCUGUUAUGGUUGAUUCUAGAUUCAAGGGUGGUAAGACCAAAGAUACUUUAUGGACGUCCAGUAUAUGUACAACACUUUGUGUUUGAGACUUGAUAAUGGCAAAAGAAAAGACAUAAGAUUGUGAGUGAGCUCGCCUCACUGACAUGUACAGCACUAAAAGAAGUUAAAGUUCUUCAAUCGAGACUGAUUAGACAGCCCACUGAACAAUCAAAAUACAGAAACUUCCAGGAUUAUGAUGUCACAAGGAGACAGACGGAAAUUGGUAUUCCAAUCUGACUAUAUCAAGCCUUUGAACUUGGGCUAAAUAAUAAAGUUUGAUACAAGUACAGUCUAGGGUUCUGGUGGUAUCUUUAUUCACUGAAUCCACAAAUUAGACUGCUUCUUUUAUAUGGAUGUACAAGCUCAAUUAAACACAUAGAAAGGCGAAAGCAAACCAUUACAUUAUGUUUUAGUCAGCUUUAAACUAGCAGUUCCUGGUUUUUGGCACUAAAAGCAUUUUAUGUUAGGUUGAAAAGCAAGGGACUAAAGAGAGACACAGGGCCGAGGUGUUGAUAUUCCUGCAACAAGAAUAUAACAUUUGAUAUGUUUAACAAGAAACUUAUAUUUUCAUUUGUAUUUAAUUUUUUAUUGAUUUUGUUUCACAUGGUUCUUGUACAUUUAAUACUACUUAAUUAAUAUGUAGUGUUGUGCAAUUCUGAAUUGUUUGGUCGUGUUUUCCAAUAAGUAUGGUUUAUCUGUAUUUUUGCCAAUUUUUUUAAUAUCGUUCUACUCUAAGUGAGUGCAUUGGUUAUUGUUGUUAUUUUGGACACUAAUCCAGCAAAUUAAUCAAAUAGUGGAGAGAGAAAUUUAAUGUUUUUUAUUAUUUUAGUGUCUUAUGUCACUGUGUAAUUGUUUCUUUAAUAGAUUCCUUUAUAACACAA